AAUAAGUGCAGUUAUGUGUUUCCACAUCCAACAUUUGACCGUCCGUCUUAUUUGAAAAAGAAUUAUGAUUAAUAUUUUUGUUCUCAAUACACAAUAAAACAUGAAUAGUACUUUCAGUGUGACUAAUUUUAUUUAUUUUUUUCAUAUUUUUUUAAAUAAGACAAACGGUCAAACUUUGGACAUGGAAAAUUACAAUUGUACUUAUA
rfam:Oryza meridionalis cultivar OR44 (W2112) chromosome 6, whole genome shotgun sequence.